UAAGGAAUAUUGGUCAAUGGGCGCAAGCCUGAACCAGCCAUGCCGCGUGCAGGAAGACGGCCCUAUGGGUUGUAAACUGCUUUUGUCAGGGAAUAAACCCCCGCUCGUGAGCGGGGCUGAAGGUACCUGAAGAAUAAGCAUCGGCUAACUCCGUGCCAGCAGCCGCGGUAAUACGGAGGAUGCGAGCGUUAUCCGGAUUCAUUGGGUUUAAAGGGUGCGCAGGCGGAUUGGUAAGUCAGGGGUGAAAUCCCACAGCUCAACUGUGGAACUGCCGUUGAUACUGUCAGUCUAGAGUAUAGUUGAAGUGGGCGGAAUGUGUCAUGUAGCGGUGAAAUGCUGAGAUAUGACACAGAACACCGAUCGCGAAGGCAGCUCGCUAAGCUAUAACUGACGCUCAUGCACGAAAGCGUGGGGAUCAAACAG
rnacentral:rRNA from 1 species